GACCGGGGCAAAUUCCGCACAUUUGCUUGAAGGGAAAAAAAAAAUUCUUGUACUGUGAGACUUUAAGAAGCACAAAAUGGCCGUUAGACGGGUCUUACAUUUGGUGCAUUGACCGGGAAUCGUCCUGCUGGCGGGGCCAGUGACAGGAGACCCGAGGAUUGUUCGAGCAGGUUAAAAGGCCUGCAGGUGGUGCAGAGAGAAGUGUGAUCACAGCCGGCAGCUGCAUAUGAGCCUGGUACUCCUAAGACAUCGCAUCAGUUCCAGGUUGGAGAUUCAUUCUACGUAAGGCGAUAUCGUGCCCAGAGGCUCGAGCUCCAUUGGAAAGGACCCUAUCUAGUACUGCUAACUACUCCAACGGCUGUCAAAGUGGACGGAAUUGCUGCCUGGAUACAUGCCUCACAUGUGAAGCCUGCCCCCUUAGCUGAGACCAGAAGACCACCCUGUCUGGAAGGCCCAGGCUACGGAGAACCCUCUGAAAGUGAAGAUCGUCAAAGGGUCCAAAAAUGCAAGCCCUUCCCCUGCCUAGCGAGAGCACUGGGAUCCAUUAGGACGAGAGUUAUGGAUGGCUAUCAGAUAACUUAUGAGUGCUAGCAACUGAACACGAGUCCUGAAAAGCAGAGACAAACAACUGUGAGACUCUGAGACACCCAAUCCUUACCUGCACAGAAACAGUACUCUUGACGUGAGGAGGAAGAGUUUGGACCAUUUCCAAGAAGCAUCGAAGGAGUCCCAAAGUCCAUACAUUAGAAGAGUUGGUGCUCUCGUCUUUAUUUUCAUAUGUAAAAGGAUCAAUUAUAUAAACAACAAUUGCAGGUGGACACAUCAGGAUGUGGCUGAGUGGGAAGAGAAGCUGACUCCCCUGAUAUUCCUGCUGCCUGCAGAGAUGACGACUGCUGUCCUCCUAGCUGGCCACUCUGAACCGUACUUGCUUGUGUAGACAUGGAUCCUGUACCACUAGUGUUCAUACUGCCAAAGGGUGGAAACGAAGGCAGUUUAUUUGAUGAUACUCCACUACUCAUACUGGAAGAUGAUGAAGAUGAAGUUGUGGUCAAAGUUGAGUUAGCUGUGGCAACUGAAGUAGAUAUGGCAACACCUGAAGUCAUUGUCAUAGUGCUACUUGCCGCAGAUGCUAAGGUGGCAGAUGGAGCAUUAGCGUUUCCAGUAUUUGUCAUCUGAGGUGCAGUAACCAAAGACUGAUUUGGAGGGGCAACUAAAUUUGGCUGGGAGAGCAGAGAGCUGUCCAACGGCUGAGAAGCAAGAUAUGGACCUAAAGAACAAAAACGGCAUCUUGAAGAACUGGCUGAAGAGAAAGGAGCAUCCGAAGUAUAUCCUGUGAACACUGCACGCUCGAAUCUACAAUCAUUAAAAAAAAGUCAGCUCUCAAACUACAGGAUCAAAGAACAGAAAAAUCAUUCUAAAGACUGAAGAAAAAAAAUUACAUGGUAGAACUAUGAAACUAUCUUUCAAACAUACCCACAUCAAGGUUUACAGGAAACCAUGUCAAGGUGACUUUAACAUGAGAGUAACAUCAAUCAAAUGUGUUUUAUUAUAAAAUAUUUCCUACUGUUCAGAGCUAAAACAUAGUAAUAAAGUCAUAAACCACUUCCAAAACUUGAACUGUUAUGAAAUCAAUGAAAUUUAACUUAAUCCUAAUCAUUAGUGGGAUACUUACUGUUAAUUCAUCUUCAUCAGAAUUGAAGAGGUUAUCAAGGUCAGUAUAAGACACAGCCAAAUCUGAGUCAUAAAUCAAACUGGUUGAUGGAGGACGGGCAUGAUUAGUAGGGCGUGGAGCAUCUACAUGUGACAAUCAGAAAAAAUAAACUGAAAACUCAAAACUAUUAGCCAAGUAGUAUUUUAUUUAACUAAACAAGACAGAAAACCUAAUGUACACAACAACUAUGCAAAACGAUUAUUCCUAGUCACUAAUUUAAAAUCUGACAUUCUUUUCUCAUAAUAAAGCUCCCGAGGAAGCUCCAAAACUUACAUAAUCUACACCAUAGUUAAGCUCUGUAGAAAAGUCAUUAGAAUAAUCCUUAAAAACACAUCCUUUGUCUUUUGUGUGUGCGUUGUGUGAUGUGGUUGAAUAUAUGCAGAUUCACAGGUACCUGUGCACAGUCUAUGCACAAUGUGGAAGCCACAGUGGGACAUGGGGUAUCUGCCUGAGUUGCUUUCUAACUUACACAUUAAGUAUGGUCUCUCCUUUGAACCUAGAGCCCACUGAUUCGAUGAGUCCAGCUAUCCAGCUUUCUCUGGGAACUCCCUAGCUCCUCUUCUCCGAUGCUAGAAUUUCAGACAGGCUCCAUCAUACUUGCCUGACAUUUAUGUGGCUACUGAGAAUCCCAACUCGCCGCGCUGUCAUGCUUGUCCGGCAAACAACUUAAAAGCCAAGCCAUCUAUCCAGGCAUUUUUCAUUUUGAAACAGAUGGGAUUUAUUUAAGCAAAUAAGGUUGCAUGUAAAUAUCGUAAUAAAGAUGAUAGAAUCACAGAAUAGCAAGCUAAUUGUGUAUGAUGAAUACAUGUUAAGUAUCUGCUUUAAAAAAACAAAUAUUUAUAGAUAAUAAUGGAGUA
rnacentral:lncRNA from 1 species